UUGUCUUCAUUUUCCAUUUUGCUACCUUUCCACAGACCUCUCACUUACCCUCUCUCUUUUUCUCCAACAAAGCUCUACUAGGGUUUGAGUAAGCUUCCCCUACGAGCUAGUCAAAAGUUUUCUCCAAGAAACUCUUUAAGCUUCCUAGUAUUGGUGCUCCUCCCACUACGUGUUUUUCUCCUUAAGCUUAGUUUCACUCAAAGAUGUGAAAACCUGUCAUCAGGAUGGUGGAAAUGCGACAAUGUAGUAUGCCGGGUUGGAUCUUGCUCUAUAGAACAUCUUUAGGGGCAUGGUUGCCUAUGUAAUCUCUUGCUCUAUGAGCAAGCUUUCUGGACAACUAUCAAACUCUUAAAUUCUGUUUUGUUCAUGACA